GAUGAAGAACGUAGCGAAAUGCGAUAAGUAAUGUGAAUUGCAGAAUUCAGUGAAUCAUCGAAUCUUUGAACGCACAUUGCGCCCCCUGGUAUUCCGGGGGGCAUACCUGUUCGAGCGUCAUUUCACCACUCAAGCCUCGCUUGGUAUUGGGCAACGCGGUCCGCCGCGUGCCUCAAAUCGACCGGCUGGGUCUUCUGUCCCCUAAGCGUUGUGGAAACUAUUCGCUAAAGGGUGUUCGGGAGGCUACGCCGUAAAACAACCCCAUUUCUAAGGUUGACCUCGGAUCAGGUAGGGAUACCCGCUGAACUUAAGCAUAUCAAUAAGCGGAGGA
rnacentral:misc_RNA from 1 species